rnacentral:rRNA from 1 species
GACAGAGGAUGCAAGCGUUAUCCGGAAUGAUUGGGCGUAAAGCGUCUGUAGGUGGUUUAAAAAGUCUACUGUUAAAAAUUGAAGCUUAACUUCAAAGAUGCCGUAGAAACUUUUAAACUUGGGGAUGGUAGGGGUAGAGGGAAUUUCCAGUGGAGCGGUGAAAUGCGUAGAUCUUGGAAAGACCACCAAUGGCGAAGGCACUCUACUGGGCCAUGACUGACACUAAGAGACGAAAGCUAGGGGAGCAAAUGGG